GGCCUUGCCUCUUGGGGUUGGCAGGAACCUGCCGGGAUUCCAGCAACUCUAUCAAUCCAAGCACAUACAUCUGCGCUUGCAGUGAGUUGUUCAUUGCCUAGCUGGCUCUUGUCCAAUGUCCAUGAUUCAGUGAUUGAUGUGUUUGCUGAUGAGCCUCGCUCUUACCGUGCGUCACAGGUUGAAGAGAUACGGUGCUCCCAGGAGCCAGGCUUCCAGCAUGCAUGAUAACUUGUCGGUAAAUGCCACACACAGAUCCAUCAUGGUUGCACGAGAAACUAGCUAGCCC
rnacentral:lncRNA from 1 species